UGGCGGCAGGCCUAACACAUGCAAGUCGAGCGGUAACAGGCCCUUCGGGGUGCUGACGAGCGGCGGACGGGUGAGUAAUGCAUAGGAAUCUGCCCGGUAGUGGGGGAUAACCUGGGGAAACCCAGGCUAAUACCGCAUACGUCCUACGGGAGAAAGCGGGGUUUCGGCCUCGCGCUAUCGGAUGAGCCUAUGCCGGAUUAGCUGGUUGGUGAGGUAAUGGCUCACCAAGGCGACGAUCCGUAGCUGGUCUGAGAGGAUGAUCAGCCACAUCGGGACUGAGACACGGCCCGAACUCCUACGGGAGGCAGCAGUGGGGAAUAUUGGACAAUGGGGGCAACCCUGAUCCAGCCAUGCCGCGUGUGUGAAGAAGGCCCUCGGGUUGUAAAGCACUUUCAGCGAGGAAGAACGCCUAAUGGUUAAUACCCGUUAGGAAAGACAUCACUCGCAGAAGAAGCACCGGCUAACUCCGUGCCAGCAGCCGCGGUAAUACGGAGGGUGCAAGCGUUAAUCGGAAUUACUGGGCGUAAAGCGCGCGUAGGCGGCUUAAUAAGCCGGUUGUGAAAGCCCCGGGCUCAACCUGGGAACGGCAUCCGGAACUGUUAAGCUAGAGUGCAGGAGAGGAAGGUAGAAUUCCCGGUGUAGCGGUGAAAUGCGUAGAGAUCGGGAGGAAUACCAGUGGCGAAGGCGGCCUUCUGGACUGACACUGACGCUGAGGUGCGAAAGCGUGGGUAGCAAACAGGAUUAGAUACCCUGGUAGUCCACGCCGUAAACGAUGUCGACCAGCCGUUGGGUGCCUUGAGCACUUUGUGGCGAAGUUAACGCGAUAAGUCGACCGCCUGGGGAGUACGGCCGCAAGGUUAAAACUCAAAUGAAUUGACGGGGGCCCGCACAAGCGGUGGAGCAUGUGGUUUAAUUCGAUGCAACGCGAAGAACCUUACCUACCCUUGACAUCCUGCGAACCCG
rnacentral:rRNA from 1 species